CAUGGCUACUGUAUCCAACACCGCUGGCACUCUGCACUGACAGCUGACGCAUUUGACCUGGCUCCCAUUAGCUCCAUCACCACCUGGAUAUCGCUGAAGGGAUCACAGCAGGAAAUUACUUGUGCUUGUCAGUUGAUUGUGCAGUGAAGAGACCGGUGGGGCUCAGAGCUGAAGAUCUCUAUCCACCGACCAGGGAGAUUGAAAGGCAGUGCGAUGGAACGGGCACGGCCGCUCCCUGACCUCUGCCUUGACCUUGACCUUGAGCCCCCGGCCUCCCAGCGAGUGAGAGAAAGCCCACAAUGCAGUGGCCUGAUCUGGCCGGCCUUGGCCAUCACCCUCCACCCUUCUAAACAGGAAGGUGGUGCUGCCUGUGGAUGAAUCAGCAUUUCGAAGGACCGGUCUUGCCCGCCUGCUUGAAUUCUGUUUGACUUUUUGCGUAGAUAAUGCUCCUCUCUCUAGGGACCUAGAAAGUCUUGCCUCAGAAUAAAAUAAAAGGUCAAGCAGCCUACACUGUUUCUACCUAGUAAAACCACAAAAGUGAAAAGCUGAUAGCUCUGUGGGCCCCACGUUGGGGUGUUUGCUGUGGUCUCUGCUGCUGUGGCACAGCCCUGACAGUGGCGUUUCUUGGCUUCAAUUAAUGAAAGAGUAACGGAUGCCCAGGCACACAUUUUCAGGUGCCAUAGGACCAAAAUUUAGCAUGGCACCAAUGAGGCUUCCCUGUUAGAGUACAGGAGAUGUAUUAGUUUUUCCUAGCCAGAAUUCAGACUCACAUAUAUGUAAACAUCAGACACUGUAUUUGGCACUUUCAUGCCCAUCAUCCACAUGUACUUAGGUCACUCCAAGGCAAUAACCCGUUAUUAAACAGCCUUGAUCU
rnacentral:lncRNA from 1 species